GACGAACGCUGGCGGCGUGCUUAACACAUGCAAGUCGAACGGAAAGGCCCUGCUUUUGUGGGGUGCUCGAGUGGCGAACGGGUGAGUAACACGUGAGUAACCUGCCCUUGACUUUGGGAUAACUUCAGGAAACUGGGGCUAAUACCGGAUAGGAGCUCCUGCUGCAUGGUGGGGGUUGGAAAGUUUCGGCGGGUGGGGAUGGACGCGCGGCUUAUCAGCUUGUUGGUGGGGUAGUGGCUUACCCAGGCUUUGACGGGUAGCCGGCAUGGGAGGGGGACCGGCGACAAUGGGACUGAGAUACGGCCCAGACUCCUAUGGGAGGCAGCAGUGGGGAAUAUUGUACAAUGGGCGGAAGCCGGAUGCAGCAACGCCGCGUGCGGGAUGACGGCCUUCGGGUUGUAAAACGCUUCCGCCUGUGACGAAGCGUGAGUGACGGUAAUGGGUAAAGAAGCACCGGCUAACUACGUG
rnacentral:rRNA from 1 species